UACGUAGGGGGCGAGCGUUACCCGGAUUUACUGGGCGUAAAGCGAGCGCAGGUGGUUUAAUAAGUCUGAUGUAAAAGGCAGUGGCUCAACCAUUGUGUGCAUUGGAAACUGUUAGACUUGAGUGCAGUAGAGGAGAGUGGAAUUCCAUGUGUAGCGGUGAAAUGCGUAGAUAUAUGGAGGAACACCGGUGGCGAAAGCGGCUCUCUGGACUGUAACUGACACUGAGGCUCGAAAGCGUGGGUAGCAAACAGG
rnacentral:rRNA from 1 species